rnacentral:rRNA from 1 species
UCAGGACGAACGCUGGCGGCGUGCUUCAUACAUGCAAGUCGAACGAUAAGGUCUCUUCGGAGAUACAUAAGUGGCGGACGGGUGAGUAAAAUGUAGAGAAUCUGCCCUAGAGUGGGGGACAACAGAGGGAAACUUCUGCUAAUACCCCAUAUGCGCGUAGCUGAGAUGCUAUUCGUGAAAACUCCGGUGCUCUGGGAUGAGUCUGCAUCUGAUUAGCUAGUAGGCGGUGUAAUGGACCACCUAGGCGACGAUCAGUAGCUGGUUUGAGAGGAUGAUCAGCCACAAUGGGACUGAGACACGGCCCAUACUCCUACGGGAGGCAGCAGUAGGGAAUUUUGCGCAAUGGGGGAAACCCUGAACGCAGCAACGCCGCGUGACCGAUGAAGCCCUUCGGGGUGUAAAGGCCUGUCAGUGGGGACGAAACUUGACGGUACCCACAGAGGAAGCAUCGGCUAACUCCGUGCCAGCCGCCGC